GCCUGCGGGCGGGGCGGCUGACGGCGGGGAUACCGGGGAGCUGGAGCUGCCUGCGGCCACCAGAGACGGCCCUGCGGCUGCCUGCCCCACCUGCGAGGUGAGAGCUGGAAGCCGGCAGCCCACCGCUGCCAAGAAGCCUCCUCCGUACCGGCUGCGAGCCCCAUACAGGACUGACCCAGAUGUGAGAAGAACCCAAAGGAAAGCCCCGGCAGGACGUGUCAGCAGAGCUCCUGGGGCGGCCGGGAAGAGCUCUUCCAAAGCUGUGGCUCCCAAACAAGGAGGCAGGCGUGGGCCGGCGGUCCCUGCGGCAGCCAAACCCCAGAGGACAGCUGGCUUCCCCAGGUCUGCCCCCAGUGAGCAGCACGGCCUCCCUGCUGGGGAUGGGAGCUCGGUGGCUGUGUGUGGGCAGCAGCUCAGUGCGGGGAAGAGGUGCUGUGCCCCCCUCAGACUGCCCGGUGGAGCAGAGGAGCACACUGCUGGUGCACGGAGCGCAUCACCGCGGGCAGCCGCGCUGCAGGAGCAGGGAUGCCAGCUGGAGCUGCCCCUUCCCUACAGGAAAGCCCACACCAGGAACUCCAGGGCAUGGGAGAAGUGCCGUCUCUGCCACACCAGUGCUGAUGCAGCGGCUGCGAGGACGCGUUUCACAGAGAGGAUCCAGAGCUCCUUUUGUUCACCAACGCCGACGCUCAGCCCUGCAGAGAUAGAGAAGGAAUUAAAAGCCCUCCAGGAUGUCCCCUCCCGUCUGAGCCUGUAUGUGGAAGCUGAGUCUGCAGACCAUCCCACUCUUCAAAGAGAGUAUGAAAGCCUUCUGACCUUGGAAGGUCUGCAAAGCACAGUCUCCCAGUGCUUGCAUAAGCUGCAGCUCCUACGGGCAGCUGUGGAGUCCCAAAGGAAGCUGCACCCAGGCUGCACUGGGGACCAAAGAGACUGCUGUGCAGCCUGUGCUGCCGGGGCUUGGGUGUGUGGCAGUGCAGGCACGCUGGCUGUGCCUCUCCUGUGCUACUCCAGGCUCCAGGAGCUGAGGGAUCUGUUUGCCUUGAAGCUGCAAGUGUCGAUGCUGCACCAGCAGAUUGCCUUACAAAAGCUCACGAUGACAGAACUGCUGCCUGUCCUGGACUCCAGGCCCUGCCCAGGGACCUCUGUGGCUCAGCUCUACAGGGCGAUGUACACACAGCUCUGCGAGGGAGGCGGGCGCUUCCCUGUGCUGGUGCGAGAUGAGCUGGCAGACUGAGCUGGUGAGAGCCUCCCUAUGGCCAUUCACAUAAACAGCCACGGUUUUAAGCAAUAAAUCCUUUCUG
rnacentral:lncRNA from 1 species